CCCUUAGAUGUUCUGGGCCGCACGCGCGCUACACUGACGAAGUCAGCGAGCAUGUCCUACGCCGACAGGCGCGGGGAAUCUUGUCAAACUUCGUCGUGAUGGGGAUUGAUUUUUGAAAUUCUUGAUCAUAAACGAGGAAUUCCUAGUAAGCGCAAGUCAGCAGCUUGCGUUGAUUACGUCCCUGCCCUUUGUACACACCGCCCGUCGCUACUACCGAUUGAAUGGUUUAGUGAGAUCUUCGGAUUGGCGCCACUGCAGCUCAGCAAUGGGCUUGGUGGAUGCCGAAAAGUUGAUCAAACUUGAUCAUUUAGAGGAAGUAAAAGUCGUAACA
rnacentral:rRNA from 1 species